rnacentral:rRNA from 1 species
UACGUAGGGGGGCAAGCGUUGUUCGGAAUUACUGGGCGUAAAGGGCGCGUAGGCGGCACAGCAAGUCGGGAGUGAAAGCCCGGGGCUCAACCCCGGAAUGGCUUUCGAAACUGCUGAGCUAGAGUACAGAAGGGGCAACCGGAAUUCCCAGUGUAGCGGUGAAAUGCGUAGAUAUUGGGAAGAACACCUGAGGCGAAGGCGGGUUGCUGGGCUGAUACUGACGCUGAGGCACGAAGGCCAGGGGAGCAAACGGG